rfam:Agrilus planipennis Contig39379, whole genome shotgun sequence.
CUUUGGUCACAGUGUAAGAAAUCCCAAACAGUAGCUUAGCUUUCCAAUCACGCUCAUAUAGGUAUUAAACCGUCUUCGUCGGUCUGAGGUAGAAGGGUUUUAGUCGGUAGUUCCGAGGACUUCUUCCUCGGGAAUGCGACACUACCCAGUCGUACGGUCGGCUGGGUGUCUUUUGAAGAUUUCCUCUCUUCCACGAAA